rnacentral:rRNA from 1 species
CGGACGUGGGUAACCUGCCUUAUACAGGGGGAUAACAGUCAGAAAUGGCUGCUAAUACCGCAUAAGCGCACAGAGCUGCAUGGCUCAGUGUGAAAAACUCCGGUGGUAUAAGAUGGACCCGCGUUGGAUUAGCUUGUUGGUGGGGUAACGGCCCACCAUGGCGACGAUCCAUAGCCGGCCUGAGAGGGUGAACGGCCACAUUGGGACUGAGACACGGCCCAG